CGCUGUGCUCGUUGAUGAAAGUCAAAGUGGCGUUACGUGAGCUCAGUGUAGCCUACAUUCAGUGGCGCCUGUUAGUUUUCCCCUUGUGUAUUUACAAUGUCACAUAUCAAAGCAUUACAAUCAAACGGAUUAAAAUACAAAGAACAAAAAUACCCCUAUAAAUCUACACAGCGAUUCAUGGUAGGCCAGUUAAUGACUUAAAAGUCAUUGCCAUGUCACAUAAUGGCGGCAAUUAGUAGCGCUCGCUCGCUCAGCUGUUUACGUCGCCUGAAGACUAAUCUCAAGAAUGACUGACAAAAGACUGAAUGGAGACGCGGAGGCUGUUUUGAAAGAGUUUGACACCACAUGCAGUCGCAAAAUGAGCUUCAAAUAGUCCACAGCCCAGACUUUCAGCCAGAAUGAAUGAUGGGAAUCACAGCAGAACUGGACCGCCGCUGAGACGUAUCUCAGCAAGUCUCGUCUGAGCCUGAUGACCCUCCUGUGACAUCAAAGUCAAUUAAGGCAUCUGUUUCAUUUUCAAAACCUGGUGUAUUUGGAUGCUGCAGUCUUGUGAGUGUGCGUUUGUGUUCUGUUGUUCAGAGAGAAUAUGUCAGCAACAGGAGGCUGUUCCUGGCCUUAGUCCAGAGAUGUUCAUGACUACCAGACUGAGGAAGACACCGUUUGUCAAAGGAUCUCAGGGGACAGUCCACUGGUCAAGCAGAACUUUAGCAAAAACACUCUUGCAUUUUACGACUCGAAAAUAAACUAAAAUAAACAUUCAUUCCAGUCAUAGUUACACACAAUAUGGUGUCAAGCUAUAUAGAUGUGUUUGUAUUUGAACAUAAUGGUUAAAGGAACAUUUUAUAACAUAUGGAUAUUGAAACAUGUAUUGAGAGAAUAUUAAAUGUUAAUUGUAUUUACACAUUCACAGCUUUAAUGUAAAAAUCUUUAAGAAUACUUUAUAUUAUAAAUGUAUUUGUAUAGUUACAUUUUACUUGUGAUGAAAUCUUUGAAAUGUGUUGAAUAUGGCAACAGAAAUAAUACUAAACAGGAC
ensembl:lncRNA